rnacentral:rRNA from 1 species
AGUGAACGCUGGCGGCAGGCCUAACACAUGCAAGUCGAACGGCAGCACAGUAAGAGCUUGCUCUUACGGGUGGCGAGUGGCGGACGGGUGAGGAAUACAUCGGAAUCUACUUUUUCGUGGGGGAUAACGUAGGGAAACUUACGCUAAUACCGCAUACGACCUACGGGUGAAAGCAGUGGAUCUUCGGACCUUGCGCGAUUGAAUGAGCCGAUGUCGGAUUAGCUAGUUGGCGGGGUAAAGGCCCACCAAGGCGACGAUCCGUAGCUGGUCUGAGAGGAUGAUCAGCCACACUGGAACUGAGACACGGUCCAGACUCCUACGGGAGGCAGCAGUGGGGAAUAUUGGACAAUGGGCGAAAGCCUGAUCCAGCCAUACCGCGUGAGUGAAGAAGGCCUUCGGGUUGUAAAGCCCUUUUGUUGGGAAAGAAAAGCAGCGGGUUAAUACCCCGCUGUUCUGACGGUACCCAAAGAAUAAGCACCGGCUAACUUCGUG